rnacentral:rRNA from 1 species
UGGGGAAUUUUGGACAAUGGGGGCAACCCUGAUCCAGCAAUACCGCGUGUGUGAAGAAGGCCUGCGGGUUGUAAAGCACUUUAGGUGGGGAGGAAGGCGUUUAAGUGAAUAGCUUAAGCGAUUGACGUUACCCACAGAAUAAGCACCGGCUAACUCUGUGCCAGCAGCCGCGGUAAUACAGAGGGUGCAAGCGUUAAUCGGAAUUACUGGGCGUAAAGCGCAUGUAGGUGGUUUGUUAAGUUUGAUGUGAAAGCCCUGGGCUUAACCUGGGAAUUGCGUUGAAUACUGGCAGACUCGAGUCGGACAGAGGGCAGAGGAAUUUCCGGUGUAGCGGUGAAAUGCGUAGAGAUCGGAAAGAACACCAGUGGCGAAGGCGACUGCCUGGGUCCAGACUGACACU